rnacentral:tRNA from 1 species
CAAAUUAGAGCUUGAAUAAAAGUGUUUCAUUUACAUUGAAAUGAUAUUAUAAAUAAAUAAUUAAUUUGA